AGAAUCAACGCUGGCGGCGUGCCUAACACAUGCAAGUCGAACGCGAAGGAGAUCUUCGGAUUUCUGGAGAGUGGCGCACGGGUGAGUAACACGUGGGUAAUCUGCCUUUGGGUGGGGAAUAACGAUCCGAAAGGGUCGCUAAUACCGCAUAACGCAGCGGCACCGCAUGGUGACAGUUGUUAAAGGGGGGAUCGAAAGACCUCUCGCCUGAAGAGGAGCCCGCGCCCGAUUAGCUAGUUGGUGAGGUAACGGCUCACCAAGGCUUCGAUCGGUAGCCGG
rnacentral:rRNA from 1 species